rnacentral:rRNA from 1 species
UUCNGGNUGAUCNCGNCGGAGGNGACCCCUUUCGAGGUUCGACUAAGCCAUGCGAGUCGAAUGCCGCAAGGCAUGGCGUACUGCUCAGUAACACGUGGACAACCUACCCUUAGGACUGGGAUAACCCCGGGAAACUGGGAAUAAUCCCCGAUAGUCCUCGAAGGCUGGAAUGCAUCGAGGGCGAAAGCUCCGGCGCCUAAGGAUGGGUCUGCGGCCUAUCAGGUAGUAGUGGGUGUAGCGUACCUACUAGCCUACGACGGGUACGGGUUGUGAGAGCAAGAGCCCGGAGAUGGAUUCUGAGACACGAAUCCAGGCCCUACGGGGUGCAGCAGGCGCGAAAACUUUACAAUGCUGGCAACAGCGAUAAGGGAACCUCGAGUGCCAGGUUACAAAUCUGGCUGUCGAGAUGCCUAAAAAGCAUUUCAUAGCAAGGGCCGGGCAAGACCGGUGCCAGCCGCCGCGGUAACACCGGCGGCUCGAGUGGUAACCGUUAUUAUUGGGUCUAAAGGGUCUGUAGCCGGCCGGAUAAGUCUCUUGGGAAAUCUGGCAGCUCAACUGUCAGGCUAUCAGGAGAUACUGUCUGGCUCGAGGCCGGGAGAGGUGAGAGGUACUUUCGGGGGAAGGGUGAAAUCUUGU